UUAUUUGCAUUUAUUUGCAUUUAUUUGAACUUUUAUAUAUUUUGAAACAAACACUACAGAUGUAAAAUUUAGUGAUUGUAUAAAUAUUUUAGAUUGACAUAAGUUUGCUACUAAAGGCGUUAAAAAAACAAUCUAAUGUUCAAAGUCAGUCAAAUCAAAGAAUUUCGACAAUUUGAAAUAUCAAAUGAGUGUGUAAAAACAAAUUGUUAAAAAAACCAAAAAUUAUAUAUUAGUUAAUUCUUAAUAAUAAUGUCAUGUAAUUAGAAAAUAAAUGUUCUAUUAAAAGAAAAAGAAAACCUAAUAUUGGCCUAAAAUAUUUAAUUGUUAUUUAGAAUAUUUUUCAUUAUUUAAAUUAUUUAAAAAAGAGACAGAUUUUUGAAAGAUACAAAGUUAGACGCUGAUAAUAUAUUUUUAAAAUUAAUUCUAAUAAGUUGUCAAGAAAGAUGCCUUUGUAAGAUUCUAUGUUUAUUUGCAUUGUGUCUUUUCCGUAUUUUCAGAAGUUAUGUGAGGUUUCGUGUGAAUUUUUUUGAAAUUUUUGAAAGGUACAUAUCACAAUAAACAAGUGCAUCUACAAUGUUCAUUUUAUAACCAUCUUUUCCCGUACACUAUUAAAAACAAAAUAGAGUUAAUUACAAAGCAAAAAGACAUGAUACGUCAGAGAAUUAUUAUAAGUAUAUGAACAUUUUUAUUUAGAACCUUGUUGUGGGAAGGUAAACAUAUUUCUUUUAUGUUCUUGAUUGUACAGAACUCAACCACUUUCAAAAAAUGGGACUUUUAUGACCAUUUAAAUAGAGUAAUUUUGUUGAUCGCUUUUGAAAUGCUUUAAAUAAUCAAAAAAUAAAUUAUUGAUAA